rnacentral:rRNA from 1 species
UACGAGGGGGGCAAGCGUUGUUCGGAUUUAUUGGGCGUAAAGAGCUCGUAGGCGGUCUGUCGCGUCUGCUGUGAAAACUCGGGGCUUAACCCCGGGCCUGCAGUGGGUACGGGCAGACUAGAGUGCGGUAGGGGAGACUGGAAUUCCUGGUGUAGCGGUGAAAUGCGCAGAUAUCAGGAGGAACACCGGUGGCGAAGGCGGGUCUCUGGGCCGUAAACUGACGCUGGAGGAGCGAAAAGCGUGGGGAGCGAACAGG